UUCUCAAAGGAGAACCGAUUUACAUUAAUUUAUAGUAUGCACGUAAACUUAACAGACCGUCUUCAUCCAAUUUUAUUCUAAACUUUUGGUUAAAGGUUUUCUAAAAUAAAACACUAAAAAGAAUACAAAGAAGUAAUAUAGAACUCUUACAACUAGAAACAAAAGAAAUGAACUAGUAACUAGGAAACUUGAAAACAGAACCUAAUCUAUGUAACUAUGUUGGAGCUUCACGCCUAGCUGAAUCAUCGCAUUACACUUAUUUUUCACUGUAACCCGAGAUAGAGAGACUACGUCGAUUUGUAGUUCAUAGAUCGCACCAUGCCAUCCUUGAAGGAGAGCUAGUCUUUUGUGCUUUGGCACUGAAGUGGUUUGCAGCCAAAGAAGGAUCUGAUCCCCAUAAAAGCUUUGCAAAGAAGAUGAGAUCUUAAGUUUUUGUUUAUCAAUCGCCAUACCUCAGCAGAAACUGCACAUUUUAAAAACAAAUGAUUUCGCGAUUCCUGAGCUAAGCCACAAAGUAGACAAACGAUCAAGAGUAGAAUUAGGAUUGAGUAUAAACAACCAAGAGGUUAUACAUGCAAAAGAAAAUUUAGCAAAUGUUAUACGAAUCCAGUUUUUUUUUAUACAAUAUUUAGGGAUUAGAUAUAACAACAGUAUUAUAAAAGUAUUAGCAAAUGUGUUCAGGUAUAUAUCGUCUAGUAAUAUCGGAAACAAACAUAGUCAAGGAAACACAAGAAUAUUAUAAAAAUCUCAGAAAAAAACUAUCAAUAAUAAAUUAAUUUUUUUCUCCCAAGUAACACACUUAGCACAUGAGCAAGCUAACCAAAAAGAACACGAAAUCUGUAACUGAGAAGUGUAAGACUCAGAGGAAAAUAGUUUAUAGACUAUAGAUUAUAAAUAUUAAGAAGAUCACAACUUCAGCCAUGACUCAGACUUGAAUUAAAAACUUAACUUCUUAAGAACUUUAUAGAUACUUACAUAGACGUUUACAGAGAUCAUGAGAGCAUUUAAGUGAUUUGGGGGAGCAAGGGAGGCUAUCAAAAUUUGUUAAUACUCUCAAACGUACCUCANNN
rnacentral:lncRNA from 1 species